UUUUUUUAUCUGGGAAGAUACUCCUUUUUGUUCUUUGUCUGAAACCUUCAACAAUUUUCCAAUCUGAGAAAAUAAUCUUUGUCGGCCGAUCGACGAAGCUGUAUCGAAAUCCAUCCGAAAUCCACUUCCAUCGUCUUCGCUUAUACAUCAAUUCUUUGCAAAUUAUAAGAUCUUAAAAGAGAUUAGUAGCCAUAUUUCGAUGGUUUCUCAAAAGAAGAAGAAUAACGAAGAUAAGUUUUUUUAUCCAGAUUAUUGUAUAACUUGAGCACUUUAUUGCAAAAUGCUCCUGCUUCAUUAUUCUUUAGCUGAAUGUUAGAUUCAUGAUACAAAGUUCAAUGUUUGCAGGCGAAGUACAAUUUUGCGCACAUAAUUCUUAUGGAGCUGAAGCAGUAACAGUUCAAUUUGGAGCAUUCUUGAAAUAUAAUUUGACAAAUGAUCGGUUUGAAGUUGGAUUCUUAAGGAGGGAAGAGAUUUGGUGUAGUAAUUGGAGGUUUUCAGAGAUCUAUAUUUAAAAGGUUAGUAAGAUAUUAAACAUAACACUUUUGAUUAGGUGAUAACAAUAUAGACCUACUCUAUUGAUUUCCAAAUUUGGUUGAAUAAGUGUAGAUAAAAUACUUACAAAUUAAUUAUGU